rnacentral:misc_RNA from 1 species
UAGAUGGCAUGGGAUGGGAAUGGGAGAGUUGAAUAAAUUGAAGAAAAUAAUUAAAAGAAAAAGACAACUGUUUGUAAAAGGGUAAAAGCCGAUCUGAUGGAAGGAAAAGGCAAAAUGGAGAAAGAAAAAGACAAAUUGGAUACGUCGCCACCAUUUCGUCGGCCAUUUGACUGAUGGGGAGUGCUGACCAAGUCAAGGAAAUUGCUGCGCUCAUGGAUUUUGUUGAACUAUUCCAAGAUACACAUCACUGUCCAGAAACACCAAGAGUUCAUAAAGAAAGCUGCUUCUGUAUGCAAGGACAAAAAAACAUGCAGGCUUUGAAGCUGUUCCCACCGUGUUGGGACAAGGAUAUAACGGAAGGACACCUUAGUCAUCAUCCUGUUAAAGGUCAAUAACAGAGGCUAUGGCCGGUACCAAUUAUCAUGAAUUUUUAUUCAGUGAAAUUGAUAUAAAUACACUAAUUUCGCUAUAACAGUAAAAUUUACUAUAAUUAAUGAUCAUAAUGAAAUCAUUAUUUUCAUUGUAUAAUUCUUCCCCCUGGCACUGCUAUGUUUUUGGCGCUCAUUUCCACUCCUGAAUUUCUUUCUCUGCCGAAAUUUUACUCUUAACUUGCUAUCCAAAUUGUGCUCUAAUAAACGUAUCCCACAUUGAGAAUCUUUCUGCCGUGAUCCACCGCAGGCUGUCACAUGAAAGCCUCAAUUGUUUGAUCUUUUCAUCCCACAGUUAGAAAACUAAAACCAGCUUCCUUUCUCAGUUGUCUUCCUUCCAUACCAGACCUCACUCUAUUGGCAUCUACCCAACGUCCAGCUGCUGCAUAUAUAUUGGAAAGCAUCACAUACGUUUCUGAAUUUUCUGGUUCCAUCUCGAAGAGCAUCCCACAGAUUUUCUCUGCGACUUCAACAUCCCCGUGGAUUUUACAAGCACCCAACAGGGAUUCCAGUAGGCUAAUUGAAGGUUUACAAGGUAGCUUCUCAACAACACCAUAAGCCUCUUUCGUGUUACCUGUUCUCCCAAGUAGGUCCACCAUGCAGGCAUAGUGCUCCAUUUUUGGCGAUAUUCCCUGUUCUAACAUGGAGUUGAAGACUAGCCAACCUUGCUUAACUAAACCAGCAUGACUGCAAGCUGAUAAAAUACUUGAAAAAGUUAUAUCAUCAGCUCUUACCCCUGAAAAUUGCAUCUCAGAGAAAAGUUCAAGGGCAGCUCGACCAUUCCCAUGUAGACCAAACCCAUUAAUCAUCACACUCCAAGAGACAGAAUCCUUUACAGGCAAGCCCUCAAAUAUCUUUCUAGCAGCAAAAAUGCUUCCACAUCUUGCAUAUAAAUCUAUAAGGGCAUUGCUGAUGACCACAUCUUUGUCAAAUCCUUUGCGUAUCACGUACGCCAUUACAGAAUGAGCAAGUUUCAGGCUAUUUAGUUGAGCAUAUGCUGAAAUUAAACUUAGAACUGUGAUAUAGUCAGGUUGCAAGCCCAUUAGAAGCAAAUCACAGAAGAAGGCAAUUGCUUUUUCAGUAUGCUUUGUUUGGAUAUGCACAGAAAGAAUGGCAUUCCACAAAGAUACGUCUCUCUUUGUAUUCAUUUCAAAUAGUAAAAGAG